AGAGUUUGAUCCUGGCUCAGGAUGAACGCUGGCGGCGUGCCUAAUACAUGCAAGUCGAACGAAGGUAGCAAUACCUUAGUGGCGAACGGGUGAGUAACACGUAGGUAACCUGCCUUUCAGUUGGGGAUAACCGAGGGAAACUUUGGCUAAUACCGAAUUCGUGCUUCGAAGGCAUCUUCGGAGCAUAAAAGGGGCCUUUAAAGCCUCGCUGAUUGAUGGACCUGCGGCGCAUUAGUUAGUUGGUGAGAUAACAGCCCACCAAGACGAGGAUGCGUAGCCGACCUGAGAGGGUGAUCGGCCACACUGGAACUGAGACACGGUCCAGACUCCUACGGGAGGCAGCAGUAGGGAGUUUUCGGCAAUGGGGGAAACCCUGACCGAGCAACGCCGCGUGAGUGAUGAAGGUCUUCGGAUUGUAAAGCUCUGUUAUAAGGGAAGAACGGCAGCUAGAGGAAAUGCUAGCUGUUUGACGGUACUUUAUGAGAAAGCCACGGCUAACUACGUGCCAGCAGCCGCGGUAAUACGUAGGUGGCAAGCGUUAUCCGGAAUUAUUGGGCGUAAAGAGUGAGCAGGCGGCAGUUUAAGUUUGGAGUCAAAGCGAGGGGCUCAACCCCUUAACGCUCUGAAAACUGAACAGCUAGAGUGCGAGAGAGGUAAGUGGAAUUCCAUGUGUAGCGGUGAAAUGCGUAGAUAUAUGGAGGAACACCAGUGGCGAAGGCGACUUACUAGCUCGAUACUGACGCUCAGUCACGAAAGCGUGGGUAGCAAAUAGGAUUAGAUACCCUAGUAGUCCACGCUGUAAACGAUGAGAACUAAGUAUUGCCGUGAGGCAGUGCUGAAGCUAACGCAUUAAGUUCUCCGCCUGGGGAGUACGGUCGCAAGACUGAAACUUAAAGGAAUUGACGGGGCCCCGCACAAGCAGUGGAGCAUGUGGUUUAAUUCGACGCUACGCGAAGAACCUUACCAGGACUUGACAUGGAAUUAAAGACCCUAGAAAUAGGGGGAUAGUCAUAGUUCACACAGGUGGUGCAUGGUUGUCGUCAGCUCGUGUCGUGAGAUGUUAGGUUAAGUCCUGCAACGAGCGCAACCCUCGUCCUUAGUUACCAUCAUUAAGUUGGGGACUCUAAGGAGACUGCCGAUGUAAAUCGGAGGAAGGUGGGGAUGACGUCAAAUCAUCAUGCCCUUUACGUCCUGGGCGACACACGUGCUACAAUGGCCGGUACAGAGAGAAGCAAGACCGCGAGGUGGAGCUAAUCCCAUAAAGCCGGUCUCAGUUCAGAUUGAAGUCUGCAACUCGACUUCAUGAAGUCGGAAUUGCUAGUAAUCGCAGAUCAGCCAUGCUGCGGUGAAUACGUUCCCGGGGCUUGUACACACCGCCCGUCAAACCAUGAGAGCUGGUAAUACUCGAAGUCGUUAUCCUAACCGCAAGGAGGGAGACGCCUAAGGUAGGACUAGUGAUUGGGGUUAAGUCGUAACAAGGUAUCCCUACGGGAACGUGGGGAUG
rnacentral:rRNA from 1 species